AUUGAACGCUGGCGGCAUGCCUUACACAUGCAAGUCGAACGGCAGCACGGGAGCAAUCCUGGUGGCGAGUGGCGAACGGGUGAGUAAUAUAUCGGAACGUGCCCGGUCGUGGGGAUAACGUAGCGAAAGCUACGCUAAUACCGCAUACGAUCUACGGAUGAAAGCGGGGGAUCGCAAGACCUCGCGCGAUUGGAGCGGCCGAUAUCAGAUUAGGUAGUUGGUGAGGUAAAGGCUCACCAAGCCGACGAUCUGUAGCUGGUUUGAGAGGAUGAUCAGUCACACUGGAACUGAGACACGGUCCAGACUCCUACGGGAGGCAGCAGUGGGGAAUUUUGGACAAUGGGCGCAAGCCUGAUCCAGCAAUGCCGCGUGCAGGAUGAAGGCCU
rnacentral:rRNA from 1 species